ACUCGCUUUCCUAUCUCUUUCAAUCUCCAUCUUCUAGUUCCCGUUUACUUCUUUAUUCUUUUUCUAAAAGUCCAUCUUUGUGUCUGCAUACCAGACAACAUGACCACAAAAGCACCUAAAUGCCCAAAACUUGCAGAACACCCUUGCCAAUCUUCAAUUCCAUCUUCCUCUAUAUCCUCUUCUCUUUCCUCUCACUUUGCUGAUGUUGCACUGAAGCAACAAAUUCUGCUUUCUCUUUCUAAGCUUGCUGAUCGUGACACUCACCGCUUGCGCUUCAAGACCUCCAAUCCAUUACCCAGUCCCUGUCCCUAAAUGCGCUGCCCUUGCUCCUCAACUUCCUUUAUAGUUUCUCAUCUGACCCCACUAACAAAGCCAUUGUCUAGAAGGAUUCUCUCCAUUUACUCUCUUUGUGCUAUCA
rnacentral:misc_RNA from 1 species